CCUUGUUUAUAUUAAUUUCCAUAGAAACCACAUACCACCUUACCACAACUGAUUGCCAAUAAAAGUCAGUGCCUGGGUCUGUCCAGUGCCUUUGUUGGUUCCACCGGCAUUGAUCAUCCUAGCCCCCGCUUUCUCUCCUAGUUUUGUCUCUUACUGUAUUCUUUUUCUCAGGCCUGUGUCACACACUGGGCAGGUGGUGACUGGAACCUGACUGCAGGGGUCCCCGGCAACUUCUAUGAUCCCAAACUGUGUGUUGAAUUCUCCUGACCAGCAAGCAAGCAAUUCUGCAGCAGAUCCUCACUGGGGACACUGUCUACCUUCAGCCCUCAGGCCCGUGUUCCAGUCCCACUCAGACUUCGACACCAGCCAUGGGGACCUGGAGAUGGCCCUGCAUCAGCAGGACAGCAGCACCUCAACCCUUGCCCAAGGGUCCAGCAGGAGUUGACAGCUUCUCCUCAAACACUUGCUGAAGAGACCAGUCAAUAGCAAAGAGUCAGUAGAUGCUGUGUGGAAAGUAACCUGCACAAUGGCCACCAUCAAGAUGCUCGAUGUCAGCAAGUGCUAGUGUCUGCUGUCCCCCACCAGAGCUCCCAGCCUGCUGUCUCGCUUGUCUUUUCCAAUGAGCUAACACAGAAGCGACUGAAACCGAACAAGAAGUUCCGACGAGUCACUCAAAGGCAGCCUCACCAUGCACCCCCAUGAUGUACCGUGUCACCACAAGUCCCAAGCAACAGGGCCAAGUCACCAUGGACUGACACACUUGAAACUGUGAGCCAAAAUCAACCCAAGCCCUUUCUAAGUUGAUUUAUUACCCCAGAUGCCUGUCUAUACAGCAGUGGGAAGCUGACUGACAGUGGAUACUGUUGUAAUCAUCUUUGUCAUUUGGGGACCAGGAGGAUGAAUAGCCAACAUAAUGAGAACACAAGGCAGAAGGAAUGAAGGCUCUGGGUCCUUAGUGAGAUGGAGAGCUGUGCCUGGAAAACCUGCUUCUAGAUACUAAGAGACCAGUCGGUCUCCUUACGAAGGCCAGCUGCUAAUUUGUGAGGAAUGCCCUCGGACAUGCCUCAUUAUAGCUUUCAUUAAUACAAGAACUGGUGCGACAUGCUCUUUAGGCUUUGGGGAGAGAGUCUCGAGUAACAACAGCAAUAGCAAACACUUCUCGGAGCUGACUUAUUCUAAUGCCUAAUCCUGCCCUGGUGAAGUCAGAAAAAUUAGCCUAGUGAAUUCUGAUUUGAGAACUCUGUGGGGAUUUUGUUCCUAACGCCAAUUUCUGCAACUAUUCCAUGGGUACCAAAAAAGGACUCCCACACACUCAGAGCAUACAAGGAGUGAAGUUUAGGUCAAGGCUCAGUGUCUGUGUGUCUGUGUCCAAUCGUUCCCACGCGGUUGAACACACAGCUCUGUCCCUGUUGAAUCGCCCUUGUGCCUUUCUCAAAAACCGCAUGAUCAUAUUUUUGGAGAAGAGGAAAAGAAAGGCAAACACAACAACAAUGUUUAAGUUGGCAACGAUGCGGCUCCGUGGGCUGCCCCAUUCCCUGCAGGGGCCGCAAACUGGCGCUGUCCCUGGCUGGACUUGGGUGGAAGGAGCACCAGCCUUGGCCUCCCACUCCCUUGGGGGGCCCUGCAGCACGGAUGUCACAGAAGGUUCCCGAGAGCGACGUGUGGAGAGCCCUAAACUGGAAACCACCAAGCUGCUCACCCUCAGGAGUGCAGAUCAGAUUCACGCGGUGCAUCGCGAUGGCACAGGAACAUACAACCUAAGCUACAUGUGGGAGUGUGGCUAAAUCUCCUGUCUUCUAAUCUUCCUCUAUGUCUCUAAGUCUCCUUCCUCUAAAUCUUCUGUCUCCACGACAGAAAGCCUGGGGCACUGGGAUUGAACCCAAGGCAUGUGUUGCAUGAUUCCCGUUGCAGGAAAUCGACACAUGGGCAAAACUAUUCUGCUCUGUUGGAAGUCGAGCUCCUGCUGUGCCUCGGUGGGAAGCAGGGGCAGGGACAGGGCGGGGUCCUGGGAAGUUGUGGGAUGCUCAGCCUUUUGAGCUGCUACUGGCUUCAAGGGUGUGUUAACCCUAUGAAAAUGUAACAGUAAAGCUGGGCGUGGUGGCCCAUUUCUAUCAUCCUAGGUGACUGAGGCAGGAAGACUGCAAUCUGUGCUCAGCCUGGGCAACUUGGCAGCAGAGCAAGACCCUGUGUCACAUUAAAAAAAUAAAAAAGGGCUGGAGCUAUGGCUAAGUGCAAAGGCCCUGGGUUCGAUUCCCAGUACCGCAAAACAAACAAAUCAAUGGUACACGCCCUAUGCACUUUCUACAUGUGUACGUUCUAUUUCCAAUAAAAAUUUUAAAAGAGUG
ensembl:lncRNA